rnacentral:rRNA from 1 species
AGCGAACGCUGGCGGCAGGCCUAACACAUGCAAGUCGAACGAAGUCUUCGGACUUAGUGGCGGACGGGUGAGUAACACGUGGGAACGUACCUUUUGGUUCGGAACAACUCAGGGAAACUUGAGCUAAUACCGGAUGAGCCCUUAGGGGGAAAGAUUUAUCGCCGAAAGAGCGGCCCGCGUUAGAUUAGCUAGUUGGUGAGGUAAAGGCUCACCAAGGCUACGAUCUAUAGCUGGUCUGAGAGGAUGAUCAGCCACACUGGGACUGAGACACGGCCCAGACUCCUACGGGAGGCAGCAGCGGGGAAUCUUGCGCAAUGGGCGAAAGCCUGACGCAGCGAUGCCGCGUGAAUGAUGAAGGUCUUAGGAUUGUAAAAUUCUUUUACCAGGGACGAUAAUGACGGUACCUGGAGAAAAAGCCCCGGCUAACUUCGUGCCAGCCGCCGCAGUAAGAC